AAAACCUUAAGUUAUGUCAAACUAUUAACCUUCAAAGUUAAAUAUAUACCAAGUAUAGGUUUUA
rnacentral:tRNA from 1 species